rnacentral:rRNA from 1 species
AUUGAACGCUGGCGGCAGGCCUAACACAUGCAAGUCGAACGAGUGGCGGACGGGUGAGUAAUGUCUGGGAAACUGCCUGAUGGAGGGGGAUAACUACUGGAAACGGUAGCUAAUACCGCAUACCAUCAGAUGUGCCCAGAUGGGUUUAGCUAGUUGGUGGGGUAACGGCGCACCAAGGCGACGAUCCCUAGCUGGUCUGAGAGGAUGACCGGCCACACUGGUACUGAGACACAGUCCAGACUCCUAAGGGAGGCAGCAGUGGGGAAUAUUGCACAAUGGGCGCAAGCCUGAUGCAGCCAUGCCGCGUGUAUGAAGAAGUCCUUCGGGUUGUAGAGUACUUUCGGCGGGGAGGCGUUACCCGCAGAAGAAGCACCGGCUAACUCCGUGCCAGCCGCCGCGGUAAUUC